rnacentral:ncRNA from 1 species
UAACUUUUGUGACUUGCUGAAAAGGGACUAAAACUCCUCACCGAGGCUAAGCAAGUAAAAUACGCCUCUCAUAUCUCAGUCUGAGGGUGACUGAGAAAUAAGUACCUCC